rnacentral:rRNA from 1 species
UAACGCGUAGGUAACCUGCCUUGUAGCGGGGGAUAACUAUUGGAAACGAUAGCUAAUACCGCAUAACAAUGGGUGACUCAUGUCAUUUAUUUGAAAGGGGCAAAUGCUCCACUACAAGAUGGACCUGCGUUGUAUUAGCUAGUAGGUGAGGUAACGGCUCACCUAGGCGACGAUACAUAGCCGACCUGAGAGGGUGAUCGGCCACACUGGGACUGAGACACGGCCCAG